UUGAACGUGUCAAAUAGAUGGCGUGAAAGAAUGUUGUUUGUUGUGUCACAAAUGGGCUAAUGGCGGUUCGUUGUCAAAAGUUCAGCUACAGCUAUCUUCUUCGAAAAUUACCAACGAAUUCGUUGGAAAAAAUGUGAAAGACCUGUACAGAAUCCAGUACUGUCAACUAUUGUGUUAAAAAUACUGGUAGGCCUAUCCUACAGAAUAUGUCAUCCAAAUGACAGAGUGGAUUCAUCACUAUUAUCGGCUGAAUCAUUCUAUGGGACUUGCCAGAUCACCAACCUUAGCAUGGACCAAUGUAUUUAAAGUUUUAGGUUUCUAAUGUAGCAUGAAAGACUUUAUGAGAAGUCAUGUUGUUUGAAGAAAAAGGACUAUAUACAGUUGACAAGGUUCUAUGCUAACCCGUUGGCUGCUACCCUUGAAUCUCCCUGUUUACUUCCUUACACGGGUCCUCUUGAUUUGAGGGUAACUCUUUCGCUACUGAUCACACCCACUGGUGAAAACCGACGAGAGAAUGCUGUAAUCCAAGACUGAUACAUUGUGUAGUUGGUAGAUAAAUGACAAGCGCAUAUCUGGGCUCCCUUCUUUUCUGUGGCCCCGUUUCCCUAACUAACCACUAACCAACGCCCACCGGUGGUCACUC